CUUGCUUUCUUUUGCUGGCGACCGGCGCACGGGUGAGUAACACGUAUCCAACCUGCCCUUUACUCGGGGAUAGCCUUUCGAAAGAAAGAUUAAUACCCGAUGGGAUAAUUAUUCCGCAUGGUUUGAUUAUUAAAGGAUUCCGGUAAAGGAUGGGGAUGCGUUCCAUUAGGUUGUUGGUGAGGUAACGGCUCACCAAGCCUUCGAUGGAUAGGGGUUCUGAGAGGAAGGUCCCCCACAUUGGAACUGAGACACGGUCCAA
rnacentral:rRNA from 1 species